CCUACGGGAGGCAGCAGUGGGGCAUAUUGGGCAAUGGGCGCAAGCCUGACCCAGCAACGCCGCGUGAAGGAAGAAGGCUUUCGGGUUGUAAACUUCUUUUAUCAGGGACGAAGCAAGUGACGGUACCUGAUGAAUAAGCCACGGCUAACUACGUGCCAGCAGCCGCGGUAAUACGUAGGUGGCAAGCGUUAUCCGGAUUUAUUGGGUUGAAAGUGUGCGUAGGCGGAUCGUUAAGUCAGUGGUCAAAUUGAGGGGCUCAACCCCUGCCCGCCAUUGAAACUGGCGCUCUUGAGUGGAAGAGAAGUAUGUGGAAUGCGUGGUGUAGCGGUGAAAUGCAUAGAUAUCACGCAGAACCCCGAUUGCGAAGGCAGCAUGCCGGCUUCCGACUGACGCUGAAGCACGAAAGCGUGGGGAUCGAACAGGAUUAGAUACCCGAGUAGUC
rnacentral:rRNA from 1 species